UGUAGAUGUUAUGAUGGGCCUCCUCUUCAUGCUUAGCAGAUCAGAGUAAACCCUUCUUCCUCCCUGCUCUUGCAAAUGUGCGAGCAUCACACGGUCUUGGUUAGGGUGUGGUCUGGACAGACAGUCCAUGAUUGAUGUGAAUAUUUACAACCAAGCAUUUGUAUUGUCAAACGCUUACCAUCCAUGCAACACCACUAACACUAAACACUUCUAGCUUUCACGCACUUGGUUUGCCCUACUCCCACUGUUGAUCCUGCCCUGCUUGGCUCAGGAUGAGGUGUCUGUGGGCUACCUGGCAUGGGCUCUUGUACCAGCAGGAGUUUUGUUGCCGCACUGACCUGGGAUGUGUUCUUGCCCCGUGUCCUGCUCCAGCCUGGGCUGUGGUGUGCUGCCUGCGCUGUGUGCUGGUGCAUGUGCAGGGACUGCUCUAGGUAACAAAUAAAUGACUGGCUUUGUACCUGGGAUGCUUUCCUGAUUGGAUUCUUCACUUAGCUACAAAAAUGGUUGCAUUGGCUCAGGACAGUGUGUUUGGGGUGGCUGGGGAAAUAAAUGCAUAUUCAAUUACAACUGUAGCAUUCUUGAAUGAAAAAUGUGUAUCUUUGUCUGACUGAAAACAAUACCAGAGCAGUCAGCAACAAAGUUGUGGUGCGCUCUGUGGAACUGGUGUAUUUUUCCAGUGGAGUUUGAAACAGGGGCCAGAUCUCCACGUAUCAGCCUUGACAGCAUCUCCCUCAGCCUCUGGCAGUAGCCCCUGUGAUGGUUUAACUUCACCCCACUCUUACUGCACUACAACAAGGCUGUUACUGCUCUCUCAGCCCCCCUGCAUCUUUCCUUAUCGCUUAGGGUAUCUCUAAUACAGCUGGUGGUGAAACUACUUUGCGAAAGGGGUAGAUGAACUUCUGGUUCUUGAACCUCAUCAAGAGGAUCACUUGAAGGCAGGAUUUUUUAUUUUAAUUUAUUUUCUUUAAGCAGAAUCAGUUGCCUGAUUUGGUUAUUAAUAUACAACUGAGGGAGUAGCAAACCACAACAGGAGGGCAAAGGAUGCUGCAAAGAAUAAGAGGAAGACUCUGUAAAUGCUUGAAGCUAGCAUGGCAGCUGAAGAUUUUGUCUCCUGAAAUGUUGGCCUCAGAAGUUUAAAACUGCACUGGUACGUAUGCCUGAGCCCUGUGUGCUGUUACAAUCGUGCAGCACAUGUGUGGAGAUGGACAGACCAGUGUCUGGCUCUGCAGGUCUU